GCCGAAGUGGCGGAAUUGGCAGACGCGCUACGUUCAGGACGUAGUGAGAGCAAUCUUAUGAGGGUUCAAGUCCCUCCUUCGGCA
rnacentral:tRNA from 1 species